CUUCACAACUCAUAGAUUUUGCCCAGCAGUAAGAGAGAUUGUUCGGACUCACUCUCUCUCUCUCUCUCUCAAUAAAUGCCCUAAUCUUUCUCUAGUUUUCAGUCCAAACUGAUGGGUAUGCCUUGUCUACUAUCCCAUAUAAGUCACCGGCACUUCAUCAUUUAGUAUUCCUACUGCUUGAACUUGCAAACCUACCUUAAUGGCUUCCACACCACCACCCAAACCAUCAAAACAGCUUGGAGAAUUUUUACUGGAGCAACAAGAACCUUUCAUCCUAGACGAGUAUCUUUUAGAAAGAGGGUGCCGGAAGAACAGCUCAAAUUCAAGAAGUAACCUUAGCAGCUGCUGCAGCAAUUCAACGAAGUUACUAAAGAAGUCGGCCAGUUUGUGGCUUAAACAAGAGCAGAAAUGAUGUUCCACGCUGCUCCAAAAUACUGGGAUGUGUAUAUAAGAAGUUUGUUUCAAUUAAAGAGGACCAGAGAAGGAAGAGUUCUGAAUAUAGAGAUGAAGAAUAUGGUGCCCCUGCAAUGGAGAUGGUGGACAAAGAAGUUGCGGAAUUGGGUGGUUUUUCCUCAGCUAGCAGCACGACAGUGUUCUACUCAUGCUCCGAGAGUGAUAAGGAGGAAAUAUCAACUUCACCAUGUUAAGAUCAGACCUUCUUUGAUGUAGAAACUUUCCAAGCUAUGAAACUCCGCAAUGAUGCAACAGAUUGAAAAGCUUCGGCGGAGAUGCAAUGAAGACAGUAAGCAACUAGGCCGUGUCAGUACUAGAAGAAAUAUCCUCCCCUGAAGCUCUUUCAAACAAAAACAGAGCAACAAAAUACCAGGAUAAGACAAGAAGAGAAUCCAACAGCCUGUCCCAAGAAAGGUUUACAAGACUACACACUAUCAUCAGCAGCUCUUCCAAGGGAAUUGCUCUUUCACUUGGCAACAGAGAAGCCAAUUCAUACAGGAGUUGCAGAGUUGCAAAGGCUUGGAGAGUCUAACCCUUCCCCACAGUACUUGAAAUUGAAAAUGGUAUUGCAGCAAACAAAGCAGCUUCUGUUUGAUUGUGUGAGGGAGGCGAUGGAGACCCAUGUGAGGAAGGAGAGAGAGAAGCAGCAUCACAAAGAAUUGCUGGGGCCUGAAGAGCUUGGGAGGCUCAUAUGUGAAAGAAUGAGGUUAUGGUGGAAACAGGCUGCAGAUGAAACAAACACAAAUUAUUUCUUGGGUUUGGACUUCUCGGAUUCCAUGAAAGAAUGGCGUACUUUGGAACAGCAGAAGAGGGAAAUUGCGUUGGAGAUUGGAGAUGCCAUUUUGGAAGAGAUCCAGACUGAAAUUGUCAUAGAAAUGAAUGAUUUCCAGGCAGCAACAGCAUUUUGACCUCAUUCCAAGUUUCACUGCUUACGCUUGAUUACCUGCUCAUCCUUCUAUGUUAUCUCUGACAAAUUUGUCAGU